rnacentral:rRNA from 1 species
UACGUAGGUCCCGAGCGUUGUCCGGAUUUAUUGGGCGUAAAGCGAGCGCAGGUGGUUUAUUAAGUCUGGUGUAAAAGGCAGUGGCUCAACCAUUGUAUGCAUUGGUAACUGGUAGACUUGAGUGCAGGAGAGGAGAGUGGAAUUUCAUGUGUAGCGGCGAAAUGCGUAGAUAUAUGGAGGAACACCGGUGGCGAAAGCGGCUCUCUGGCCUGUAACUGACACUGAGGCUCGAAAGCGUGGGGAGCAAACAGG